UGAUAGGUUGUUUUGAUUUAUUAUAACUUUUUUGUCUAAACAGAUAUCUGACUCAAUCUUGCAUCGUUUGUUAGAAAUAUAGCUUAAUUUUGAUAUAUCAAGUUUUGAAUAUUUUUUGCCGAUGGGCCAAAAUCAACCCAAAACAUACCUAGCCCUUUCUGCCCAACAAAACAAAAUUGGGGUAAAAUACUCUCAAAAACUUAUCUGUAGCUGUGCAUCAGAUGACAAACUGGUAUGUUGAAUAAUUCAAAUUAUGUAAAUGUGUUUAAAUUGUGAUAACUUUGCAGCAAUUUAAGUGUGGCCGUUAAACGUUAUCUUUAAUAAUUCAAUGCUUAAAAUGAUCUUCAACAAUGUUUUUGUUUCAAUUUUAAGAAAUUUUCUAAAACUUUGUUAUUAAAUUGAUGUAUUUAGUUGGACAUUCAAUAAAGAAAGCAUCAGAUUAUUUAUCCAGUUGCCCUCACAGAGUUCAAUCCUCGGGCAAAGUGGUUGCUACAAUACCUAUUAAACAAUUCAUGGUACAAAAUUUGGCCAAUAUAUUAAUAAUAUAGUCAUUUUUCUUUUGUGGUAUUUAUUUAAAACAUUUCAUUCUGUAUUUACCCAUUUCUUUAUUAAGUAUUAUUACAGUUUCAGAUGGCAUUUUUCAGACAGAAGUUUGUGUUGUAAUGAUGGUGAUCUCUUCUAUCAGUAACAGAAUGAGAAGUGACCAGCGAUCAGGUUCGAGUGUUCCAGCAAUCUGUGUUCUAGUGAUCCGAGGUACAACAAUAUAUAAUACAUAGAAAGUUGGCAAAGACUGGGCAAUGAGGUCAAGCCAAGGGAGGUAUUCAAGCUAUCCAAGGACAAGCUGACAAAGUUCAACUGUAAAUAUGUAAUUUAGUUAUUUCAUGAAGGAAAGCUGACUGGUACCAAAAUUGCCCAUUUGAAAGCAAAGUACACAGAGUUUUUACAUGAAAUACUUAAAAAUACCCGGGAGAAUGAGACUUGUUUAUUGUCUCAGACAAAAGAAUGCUCUGCUGAACUUGAUCGUCAAUGUAUAGAGUUAGAGCAAGCUGAUAAUUUUACCAAUGGUUCAAACACAGAGGUUUCAAAGAUGAGACAACAACUGUUAAAGUAUAACAAUGACUUGAAACAAGCACAUGAAAGGCAGUACGAGCUAGAAUAUCAAAUAGA